UGGUCAAGUUAUUAAGGGUGCAGGGCGGAUGCCUUGGCACUAGGAGCCGAUGAAGGACGUGAUAAGCUGCGAUAAGCUUCGGGGAGUUGCACGUAAACUUUGAUCCGAAGAUUUCCGAAUGAGGAAACUCACUUAGAGUAAUGUCUAAGUAUCAUUAAGUGAAUACAUAGCUUAAUGAGGGGAACUCAGGGAACUGAAACAUCUAAGUACCUGAAGGAAGAGAAAGAAAUUCGAUUCCGUAAGUAGCGGCGAGCGAACGCGGAUUAGCCCAAACCAAUAAAGUUUUCUUUAUUGGGGUUGCGGACAUAUCAUAACGAAGAGGUAUCGUAAUUGAAGAGGUUUGGAAAGACCCACCACAGAAGGUAAUAGUCCUGUAUGUUAAACGAGAAGACUUUAGAUAUGAUCCAGAGUACCACGGGACACGUGAAACCCUGUGGGAAGCAGGGGGGACCACCCUCCAAGGCUAGAUACUACCUAGUGACCGAUAGCGUAUAGUACCGUGAGGGAAAGGUGAAAAGAACCCCGGGAGGGGAG
rnacentral:rRNA from 1 species